ensembl:lincRNA
AUGAGAACGGCCGAGUUCACAUCAGGGAAACCAGCUGGCAAGCUUCUCCAGGAAAAUCAACAGUACACCAUCUUCCCUCCAGUUCUUUUAUUCUGUUGGCAACAAACAAUUCUCAGCGCUCCCAACUCCAGGUCCUGCAGACCCAGGCGAGAGCUGCAUCCCAGCCGUGAGGAGGAAUCUAUAGGCGCGACCGCCAGCAUCAGACACGCGGCUGUCUCUGCUGCUGUCGCUCGCCUUCUGCCAAUCAGAGCCACGGUUCCAGGUCAGCCUAUCUCUGCCAAGCCGGCCUCCAAACACCCUGAACGCUACCCGCGCUGCGGAGAGGAGGGGUGAAGCUCUCAAUCCCGCUGUUUCUUUUCUUUCUUUUUUGGUUGCAGUGACUUCCUAAGUUCUGGAGCUACCCAUACUGUGUUGAAAAGGAAUGGUGAGAGCAGGCAUCCUUGUGAUCUUGCUCUGAUCCUAAUUGAAGGAGGAAAGGGGCUUUCACUGUUAAGUGCUGUUACCUGUAUUUUUUUUUUCCUUUCAAUUUUUUGUGGCCGUUCUUUCUCAAGUUGAGGAAAUUCCCUUCCACUUUUAGCUUGGUAAAUAUUUCUUUUUCCUCGAGUGGGUGUUGGAUUUUGUCAAAUGCUUUUUCUGCAUCAUCCGGGCUUGCUGAGUCCACAUUUCGGAUUCUAGGAAAUCCCUCUUUCCAGAAUAAUUGCCCACGUGAAGGAAUUUCUGCUUUCUGUAGGCAGUCGCCACCUAUGCCCAAAAGUGUUUGGUGGGAACCCAUGAAAAGGCCAUCAUUUCAAACUAGACCUGCCACGAAAACUACAUUUUCCAAGGUAGCUAGUAUUUGCUCUCAGCACCACCUGUAGAAACAUAUUAACAACAUAGUUGAUGUUGAAUUUCACUCAGUCUUGUCCAAUUCUAGUUUUAUAAUCACUUCAAACUGAACCUGGUCCCGAAUGUAGUUUAAGUGUAGUCUUUGAGAUCUCAGCAAGUUCUCAAAUAAAAACACACAGUCACAAAAAGAAGCAACAAGUUACGCCAAAGGGUUUUGUUCGCAUUAAUAAGGACUGCACUGAGCUACAUUCCCUGCCCUUUAAAAACUGUUUUGAGACAGGGUCUCUAUAAGUUGCUAAGUCACCCAGGCUAGGCUGAACUUGGAAUCCUGCCUCAGCCUUCCAUAGUGUGGAAUUAAAGGCAUGUUUCACUGGCCAUGUUUUUUCUUUUUUUGGCACUGGGGGUUGAAUUUGGGACCUUGUGCUUUCGAGGCAGGCGGUGGCACCACUUCACUGGCCAUGUUUUAAACACUUGUUUUUCAGGAUUCUUAAGCUAUGGAUUAAGGAUAUGAUACCUUAUCAAAGGAGUUCUCAGAGCCUUUUUGUUUUGUUUUGUUUUGUUUUUUGAGACAGGGUCUCACUAUGUAGUUGAGACUGACCUGGAACACUAUGUAGCUAAAGGAGUUCUCAGAGCCUUUUUGUUUUGUUUUGUUUUGUUUUUUGAGACAGGGUCUCACUAUGUAGUUGAGACUGACCUGGAACUCACUAUGUAGCCCAGGUUGGUCUUGUACUCACAGACAUCCUCCUGCCUCAGCCUCCGAGUGCUGGGAUUACAGGCUUACAAGGCGUGUGCCACCACACCUGGCCCAUCAGAGCCUUUGAUAUAUAAUAUAUUAUAAACUUCUGAAGAGGAGAAAUGGAGGUAUUUUAUUUCAGAAUGCCUUUUGGAUAAUUAUCUUUGGAGAAUGCUGGUUUACAGGUGAAAGAAGUCUAAAUUCAUAGAAAAGAAAUAUUUUUUCACAUUAAGGAAAAGUAACACAGGCUAAUAUGUGUAACUCUUGCUCAGUUCUACUCAAUACAAUACAUUAAAGUACACUUAGUCUAAAUAUAACAUUUAGAUGUGUAGUUUGUUUUUCCUUUCACAAGAUGAUUUGCCUUAGAAGACUAUUCAAGGGAAUCUUUCAGAUCAAAGGACAGCUUGGCCAAAAGGGAUUCUAUGAACACUUUGAAAGUGGUAGUUUGUUCAAUUUCUACUUACGUCCUGAUGAUUUAAGAAAAAGAAACUGCUUUAGGACACUAACAGUUACAUUUGGAUUUGGUUAUUUGCAGUUCUUUAAGCCCAAACACGUUUCAAACAGGAGUUUUAAAGUGGGAGUAUGCGUGCCAGAGUGAAGCUGCCUGAGUUCAAAAUUCAGUUUUCUGCUACCAUGGUCCCAGCCCACAACCAGUGAGACUGUGGACAGCCAUUUAGCUUCUCCGUCUUACAGUUGUUUUUACAGUGUGCAAGUACUAUAACAAAACUAAGCAAGUAGAGAAAGAAAUUUGAUCUUCUUUGACUCUUGGUGAAACAUUCUCUGAACGUUCAACUUGCCCAGGCCCACUAAGGUGAUCCACGCUGCUAGAGUGACUAAAACCAUUGUUCACUUGGACUUUAAUAUGAAUGUGGGUAUUUUUCUGCUUCAUUAUAUUGCCUGCCAAUUUAAGAUGAAAAUCGAAGGGGUCAGGGAUUUAGCUCAGUGGCAUCAUGCCUGCCUCAUCAGCGCAAGGUCCUGAGUGUGAUCCCUGAUCCCACAGAGAGAGAGAGAGAGAGAGAAUGAGAGAUUAAAAAUGGAAGCUCUGCCAUUCAAAAUUGUAACGAAUGUAUAAUGUAACUGCAUAUGAAUAAAUAGGCUUGAGAUAUAGUUGACACAACUCAUAAAUAUUUCCUGAAGUCUGCAGGAAUAUGAGAAGGCAAUGGACUUUUCGGAGCACUUGGCACACUUCAGAUACUACCCUAUACUUCCCAGUGAUUCUUCAUCCUCAGAACUGCACUGUGAUUAGGUAUUAAGAGGAAACUCAGCCUUUGCAAGAUGAUAAUCCCCAAAGACAAAGAAUGUACAGUAUAUUUGGCUCUGUAUGAUUUCAGUGCGUGAAUCUACACAGGAUGAAAUAACAGAAGUAUACAUACAUUAUACAGAUGUCAAAUCCCUACUUUUGAUACUGCAGUAAAACUACAUAAGGUGUAACAUUGGGAGGUAGCUUUGAGGAGUACUGGUCAGCCACUCGGUUUCGGUUUGUCCAAAGUUUUACUCAGGGGUUAUGGAUUUAGAAGUAGAGCACAUAGGUCAAUACUAUGUUUGCAAUUGUUAAAUUAAUGAUUUCAAAUAAAAUAAAAAAAUCAACCGGGGAUAAAUGUUUACUAUAAUUCCCCCAACAUUCACACAACCCUACUAAGAUAAGUGGAGUAAUUCGGAAUGAGGAACUAAGCUUAAUUAUGCUCCAGCACCUCAUACCCUUUAAAAAAAUUAUUAUGCACUGCAAACAUGUACUAAUCACAAUAAGUCAAAUAAAUUUUGGUGGAAAAAUGGGGCUGGGAUAGCACCUGCUCUACCACUGAGCUACAACCCCAGCCCCUAUCAGGCAUUUUUUUGGGAGGGGGGCAGGGUCUCGCUAAGUAAUUCAGGCUGUCCUGUAACUCACGGUUCUCCUGCCUCAGCCUCCUGUGUGCUGGGAUUAGAAGCGCGCGCCAGCACGCCGGCUGUGUUCAACACAAAGAUUUAGAAUCUGGGAGUCAGGCUUUAUAAUUAACGUCACGGGAUUUGGAAGGCCGUCCAGUUCCCUCAAGCACAAAGUAGAGGCUCGUCAGAUUGUUUAUUCAGACUGGAACCAAAACCAGACCGAGGCCGGCUUACGGCCUCUCGGAUCUACUGCACCGCGCGUGCGGGGAACCGUCAGGAAGCUGCCGCGAAAGGCCCACCGGUAGCACGCAGAAAGGCGGCACGGCC